AUUGGACAAUGGGCGCAAGCCUGAUCCAGCCAUGCCGCGUGAGUGAAGAAGGCCCUCGGGUUGUAAAGCUCUUUUGUCCGGAAAGAAAAGCAUCGGGUUAAUACCCCGGUGUUCUGACGGUACCGGAAGAAUAAGCACCGGCUAACUUCGUGCCAGCAGCCGCGGUAAUACGAAGGGUGCAAGCGUUACUCGGAAUUACUGGGCGUAAAGCGUGCGUAGGUGGUUCGUUAAGUCUGAUGUGAAAGCCCUGUGCUCAAACUGGGAAUGGCAUUGGAAACUGGCGGACUGGAGUUCGGAAGAGGGUAGCGGAAUUCCCGGUGUAGCAGUGAAAUGCGUAGAGAUCGGGAGGAACAUCCGUGGCAAAGGCGGCUACCUGGACCAGCACUGACACUGAGGCACGAAAGCGUGGGG
rnacentral:rRNA from 1 species